rnacentral:RNase_P_RNA from 1 species
UGAGCAGGCCGGACGAUUACCCAGUACUUUCUUGAAAGUGCUGGGAGGAAAGUCCGGACUCCACAGAGCGGCGUGCUGGAUAACGUCCAGUCGGGGCAACCCGAAGGAAAGUGGCACAGAAAUCACACGGCCGAACUCAAGCCUAAAGCUUGGGUGGCAAAGUUGAAACUGGGAGGUAAGAGCUCCCACACGACAGCCAGGAGACUGGCGGUGCGCUAAACCCCACGCGGAGCAAGACCAAACAGGGAAAUGGGUGGCUCGCCCGUUAUGAUCCCGAGUAGGUCGCAUAUGCCCUGAGCUUGUCGAAGGGCAUUGAGGUAGGCAGCAAUGUCUAUCCCAGAUAGAUGAUCGUCCCUGCCCGCCGGCAGGCGGGCGCGACAGAAUCCGGCUUACAGGCCUGCUCUUUUC